rnacentral:rRNA from 1 species
GGCUCAGAACGAACGCUGGCGGCGUGGAUUAGGCAUGCAAGUCGAACGGGACUUAUGUUGUAGCAAUACUUUAUAAAGUCUAGUGGCGUAAGGGUGAGUAACACGUGGGUAAUGUACCCGAUAGUUUGGGAUAACGUUCCGAAAGGGACGCUAAUACCGGAUGUGAUGUUAAACCGCCGGGUUUAACAAGAAAGGUGGGGACCGCAAGGCCUGCCGCUAACGGAACGGCCCGCGACCUAUUAGCUAGUUGGUGGGGUAAAGGCCUACCAAGGCGAGGAUGGGUAGCCGAACUGAGAGGUUGACCGGCCACACUGGGACUGAGACACUGCCCAGACUUCUACGGAAGGCUGCAGUCGAGAAUCAUUCACAAUGGACGAAGUCUGAUGAUGCGACGCCGCGUGCGCGAUGAAGGUCUUCGGAUUGUAAAGCGCUUUGAACAGGGAAGAAUGCCGCGUAUUUAAUAGAUAACGCGGAGGGACAGUACCUGACAAACAAGCCCCGGCUAAUUUCGUGCCAGCAGCCGC